GUCCCAUCCCGAACCCGGUAGCUAAGACCCACAGCGCUGAUGGUACUGCACUCGGUAGGGUGUGGGAGAGUAAGUCACCGCCGGAA
rnacentral:rRNA from 1 species